rnacentral:rRNA from 1 species
AUGUCCAGACAUGACAUCAAAGUCCACUCAGCGUCGCUGCAGGAGCUUGUUUUUGGCCCCCAUACGGAAUGUCGUGGCAUCGAGAUCGUAACUCCCAUGCUUAAGCUAUUGAAAAUGGAAGUCCAGGCCGACAAGGACAUCCGGGUGUUCAUCUCCGCGCCAUUGCUGGAGAUGGUCUCGUGGCGGCGCUCAUACACAGGUUCGCCCAUUGUGUUUGGUGUUUGGCACCUUCGAAAUCUGAGCUUAGAGAGACGGCAGUUUCUCAGAGACAAGCACCUUCAAAAUCCGAGCUCAGAUGGACAGCGGAUGCUCGCAAACAAGCACCUUCAAAAUCUGUUUGAGAGAGAGGGGGUGCUCACAUACAACCAUAUCCUCCAUGGACAUGACUCCUCAGAUGCAGAACUGGACUUUGCACAAGAAAUACGGAAUAUUCUGGUUACUGACUUCUCUGUUUUGAACCUAAGCCUCGGAACAAUGGGUCACGUGACACAAGCAUGCUCAGAGAAUUGUCCUUGUGAUUCCCCAAAAAUUUGGAGAAGCCAAAGUAUCUGCAUGACUCAUCUGGAAGAAGUGGAGAUCAAGGGCAUAAAAGGAGAGGAUCAUGAGUUUGAUGCCUUGAAAUUGAUCCUCAGAUGCGCGCUGUUGCUUAAAAGGAUGACCGUGGGGCUGGAAAUUAGUGUAAAAUCAUAUCGCUAUUGCACCAAGGAAAUCAACAACAUCUCAUUGGAGUAUCCGUCCGUGGAUUUCCAUGUGUAUCGCUCCGGUACACUGGUGCUCCAUGCACGUUCAUCAUGCACCUAG